GCCAAAGGAUAGGUCUGCGGCCGAUUAGGUUGUUGUUGAUGUAACGGAUCAACAAGCCUCCGAUCGGUAUGGGUUGUGAGAGCAAUAGCCCAGAGAUGGGUUCUGAGAGAAGAACCCAGGUCCUACGGGACGCAUCAGGCGCGAAAACUUUACAAUGUGCGAAAGCACGAUAAGGGAACUCUGAGUGCCUCCUAAGGAGGCUGUUCAGGUGUCUAAAAAGCAUCUGAAGGAAGGGCUGGGUAAGACCGGUGCCAGCCGCCGCGGUAACACCGGCAGCCCAAGUGGUGGCCACUUUUACUGGGUCUAAAGCGUUCGUAGCCGGCCAGGUAAGUUCCUUGGGAAAUUUGACCGCUUAACGGUCAAGCUUUCAGGGAAUACUGCGUGGCUUGAGACCGGGAGAGGUCAGAGGUACCUCAAGGGUAGGGGUGAAAUCCGUUAAUCCUUGGGGGACCACCGGUAGCGAAGGCGUCUGACCAGAGCGGAUCCGACGGUCAGGAACGAAGGCUAGGGUAGCGAACCGGAUUAGAUACCCGGGUAGUCCUAGCUGUAAACGAUGCGGGCUAGGUGUUGGCAUUACUGCGAGUGAUGCCAGUGCCGAAGGGAAGCCGUUAAGCCCGCCAUCUGGGGAGUACGGUCGCAAGGCUGAAACUUA
rnacentral:rRNA from 1 species